UACGAAGGGGGCUAGCGUUGCUCGGAAUUACUGGGCGUAAAGGGCGCGUAGGCGGACAGUUUAGUCAGAGGUGAAAGCCCAGGGCUCAACCCUGGAAUUGCCUUUGAUACUGACUGUCUUGAGUACGGGAGAGGUGAGUGGAACUCCGAGUGUAGAGGUGAAAUUCGUAGAUAUUCGGAAGAACACCAGUGGCGAAGGCGACUCGCUGGACAAGUAUUGACGCUGAGGUGCGAAAGCGUGGGGAGCAAACAGG
rnacentral:rRNA from 1 species